rnacentral:rRNA from 1 species
UGAUCCGGAGAUGUCUGAAUGGGGAAACCCACUUACCAUAAGGUAGGUAUCGCAACAUGAAUACAUAGUGUUGCGAGGCGAACGAGGGGAAGUGAAACAUCUCAGUACCCUUAGGAAAAGAAAUCAAUUGAGAUUCCCGUAGUAGCGGCGAGCGAACUGGGAUAAGCCCAUUAAGUCUAGUGUGUUUUAGAGGAAUGAGAUGGAAAUCUCAGCCGUAGUAGGUGAUAGCCCUGUACUUAAAAGGGCACAUUAGAUGAAUCGAGUAGGGCGGGACACGUGAUAUCCUGUCUGAACAUGGGGGGACCAUCCUCCAAGGCUAAAUACUCCUGACUGACCGAUAGUGAACCAGUACCGUG